rnacentral:rRNA from 1 species
GACGGGGGAUGAAAGCGGUAUCCGGCCUCACUGGGCGUAAAGCGUCUGUAGGUGGUGAUGCAAGUCACUGGUGCAAAACUCUGGCUCAACCGGAGGAAAGCCAGUGAAACUGCAUGACUAGAGUGUGGGAGAGGUAGAAGGAAUUCCCUGAGUAGCGGUGAAAUGCGUAGAUACAGGGAAGAACACCGGAGGCGAAAGCGUUCUACUGGAACACAACUGACACUGAGAGACGAAAGCUAGGGGAGCGAAUGGG